rnacentral:rRNA from 1 species
UACGUAGGGGGCGAGCGUUGUCCGGAGUUACUGGGCGUAAAGCGCACGCAGGCGGUCUGCUAAGUUUGGAGUGACAGUUGGUGGCUUAACUGCCAAAGUGCUUCGAAAACUGACAGACUUGAGGGCUUCAGAAGGGACACGGAAUUCCGGGUGGAGUGGUGAAAUGCGUAGAGAUCCGGAGGAACACCAAAGGCGAAGGCAGUGUCCUAGGG